rnacentral:rRNA from 1 species
GACAGAGGCCUCAAGCGUUAGGCGGAAUCACUGGGCUUAAAGCGUGUGUAGGCGGAUCGUUAAGUACCUUGUGAAAUCCCACGGCUCACCCGUGGAACUGCUGGGUAUACGUGGCGGUCUUGGGCCAACUAGGGGCAGCUGGAACAAGCGGUGGAGCGGUGAAAUGCGUAGAUAUCGCUUGGAACGCCGGAAGGUGAAAACAGGCUGCUGGGGUUGUGCCGACG